UGGGGAAUAUUGCGCAAUGGGCGAAAGCCUGACGCAGCGACGCCGCGUGAGGGAUGAAGGUCUUCGGAUCGUAAACCUCUGUCAGAAGGGAAGAAUGGUACAGGUGCUAAUCAGCUUGUAUUUGACGGUACCUUCAAAGGAAGCACCGGCUAACUCCGUGCCAGCAGCCGCGGUAAUACGGAGGGUGCGAGCGUUAAUCGGAAUUACUGGGCGUAAAGCGCACGUAGGCUGUUACUUAAGUCAGGGGUGAAAUCCCACGGCUCAACCGUGGAACUGCCUUUGAAACUGGGUGACUGGAGUGUGUGAGAGGGUAGUGGAAUUCCUGGUGUAGGAGUGAAAUCCGUAGAUAUCAGGAGGAACAUCAGUGGCGAAGGCGACUGCCUGGCACAUAACUGACGCUGAGGUGCGAAAGCGUGGGUAGCAAACA
rnacentral:rRNA from 1 species